rnacentral:rRNA from 1 species
GAUGAACGCUGGCGGCGUGCUUAACACAUGCAAGUCGAACGAAGCAAUGCGACGGAAGCCUUCGGGUGGAAGAUGCAUUGACUGAGUGGCGGACGGGUGAGUAACGCGUGGGUAACCUGCCUUACACAGGGGGAUAACAGUUAGAAAUGACUGCUAAUACCGCAUAACCCGCUAGUACCGCAUGGUACAGACGGAAAAGAUUUAUCGGUGUAAGAUGGACCCGCGUCUGAUUAGCUAGUUGGUAGGGUAAUGGCCUACCAAGGCGACGAUCAGUAGCCGGCUUGAGAGAGUGAUCGGCCACAUUGGGACUGAGACACGGCCCAAACUCCUACGGGAGGCAGCAGUGGGGAAUAUUGCACAAUGGGGGAAACCCUGAUGCAGCAACGCCGCGUGAGUGAAGAAGUAUUUCGGUAUGUAAAGCUCUAUCAGCAGGGAAGAAAAUGACGGUACCUGACUAAGAAGCCCCGGCUAACUACGUGCCAGCAGCCGCAGUAAAAC